GCAGAAUCCAGUGAAUCAUCAAGUUUUUGAACGCAUCUUGCGCUUCGGGGAUAUGCCCGGAGCAUGCCUGUUGGAGUGUCUGCU
rnacentral:rRNA from 1 species